UACGGAGGGUGCAAGCGUUAAUCGGAAUUACUGGGCGUAAAGCGCGCGUAGGCGGUUUGAUAAGCAGGAGGUGAAAGCCCUGGGCUUAACCUGGGAACGGCAUUCUGAACUGUCUGACUGGAGUAUAGUAGGGGGUAGUGGAAUUUCCGGUGUAGCGGUGAAAUGCGUAGAUAUCGGAAGGAACACCAGUGGCGAAGGCGACUAACUGGACCAAUACUGACGCUGAGGUGCGAAAGCGUGGGGAGCAAACAGG
rnacentral:misc_RNA from 1 species